UACGGGGGGAGCAAGCGUUGUUCGGAUUUACUGGGCGUAAAGGGCGCGUAGGCGGCCACCGCAAGUCGAUUGUGAAAUCUCCGGGCUUAACCCGGAAAGGUCAACCGAUACUGCGGGGCUAGAGUGCGGAAGGGGCAACUGGAAUUCUCGGUGUAGCGGUGAAAUGCGUAGAUAUCGAGAGGAACACCUGCGGCGAAGGCGGGUUGCUGGGCUGACACUGACGCUGAUGCGCGAAAGCUAGGGGAGCGAACGGG
rnacentral:rRNA from 1 species